UUAGAAAUUGCUGGACAGUGCUAAAGCGCGUGAUUCGUAGUGAUUGGAUCCUGUGACACUUGAAUAGUGCUAUUAACUAUGAAGUUCUUUUAAGAGAGUUGAAACACUUCCUAUUGAUGAGGGUGUUGGAAAGUCCUUUGUGGCUCUGUAAGAGAUCUUAUUUCUGGCAUGGAGCAGCCCUCCCAGAAGAAUAGGACACCUUGUACCCUAAAUAUGGGUGGCAGCCUGAACACCAACACUGGACUUUCUGAAAUGAGAUUCAUAGAUAGCCAGCUGGGCCUGUUCCUGGAACUCCAGCAAUAGAACUAGGCUUUUCCUCAACUUCACUGACCCACGUGUUCACAGGAAGAGCAAAAGUGGUCGGCAAAGGUGAAAAGUGAGACAAGCAACCGGUACACACGGGGAGGGUCUUCUGCCUCCCUCCUGGCGUAUUUUGGGUUUGGGACCAAGACCCUUCCGUGCAGAGGUGUACUACUUGCCCUUGGGCUCCACCAGGUCUGGGAUCAAAAUCAGGAUCUCAUGCACCUGUUUUGGUACCAGGGCUUGAACUCAGGACUUUGUGCUUGUGAGGAAGACGGUGGCACCACUGAGCUAAAACCCCAGCCCUGCACCAUUUUUAUGAAAUUAUUUUCUUUUGGGAAGUGA
rnacentral:lncRNA from 1 species